rnacentral:rRNA from 1 species
AUUGAACGCUGGCGGCGUGCUUAACACAUGCAAGUCGAGCGGAGCGGCGAACGGGUGAGUAACGCGUGAGUAACUGCCCCCCUCUCUGGGAUAACAGUUGGCAACGGCUGCUAAUACCGGAUAGUGGGGGAUGACUCGGGGCCUAUCGGCUUGUUGGUGGGGUAGUGGCCUACCAAGGCCACGACGGGUAGCCGGCCUGGGAGGGCGACCUGCCACAUUGGGCUGAGAUACGGCCCAAACUCCUACGGGGGGCAGCAGUGGGGAAUAUUGCACAAUGGGGGAAACCCUGAUGCAGCAGCGCCGCGUGGGGGAUGACGGCCUUCGGGUUGGAAACCGCUUUCAGCCAUGACGCGGUAGUGGCAGAAGAAGCACCGGCUAACUACGUGCCAGCAGCCGCGGUAAUUC